AACGAACGCUGGCGGCAUGCCUAACACAUGCAAGUCGAACGAGACCUUCGGGUCUAGUGGCGCCCGGGUGCGUAACGCGUGGGAACCUGCCCUUAGGUUCGGAAUAACUCCCCGAAAGGGGUGCUAAUACCGGAUAAUGUCUUCUGACCAAUGAUUUAUCGCCUUUGGAUGGGCCCGCGUUGGAUUAGCUUGUUGGUAGGGUAAAAGCCUACCAAGGCGACGAUCCAUAGCUGGUCUGAGAGGAUGGUCAGCCACACUGGGACGGAGACACGGCCCAGACUCCUACGGGAGGCAGCAGUGGGGAAUAGUGGACAAUGGGGGAAAGCAUGAUCCAGCAAGGCCGGGUGAGUGAUGAAGGCCGUAGGGUUGUAAAGCUCUUUUACCCGGGAUGAUAAUGACAGUACCGGGAGAAUAAGCUCCGGCUAACUCCGUG
rnacentral:rRNA from 1 species